rnacentral:misc_RNA from 1 species
UUAACUAUUAUAUAGUACUCAGACAUCACUAAAAUUCAGAGUUUGAUUCUCUGGCAGGCACAUGCAGGCAAAGCCUGCAGUGGAGGCCACGGCCUGCCAAAGCAACAAGAGUAAAUAAACACGGGUGGGGCUUCUCCGAACCGGGUGGGGUUACCACCACGGCCCAAAGGCCUCUUUAAUGAUCCUUCCGCAGGUUCACCUACGGAAA